GAUUAACGCGAAGAACCUUACCUAGGCUUGACAUGCACGGAAAUCUCGCAGAGAUGCGGGGUCCGUAAGGGCCGUGCACAGGUGGUGCAUGGUUGUCGUCAGCUCGUGUCGUGAGAUGUUGGGUUAAGUCCCGCAACGAGCGCAACCCUCGUUCUAUGUUGCCAGCACGUAAUGGUGGGGACUCAUAGGAGACUGCCGGGGUCAACUCGGAGGAAGGUGGGGAUGACGUCAAAUCAUCAUGCCCCUUAUGUCUAGGGCUGCAAACAUGCUACAAUGGCCGGUACAAAGGGCUGCGAUACCGCGAGGUGGAGCGAAUCCCAAAAAGCCGGUCUAAGUUCGGAUUGGGGUCUGCAACUCGACCCCAUGAAGUUGGAGUCGCUAGUAAUCGCAGAUCAGCAACGCUGCGGUGAAUACGUUCCCGGGCCUUGUACACACCGAAUC
rnacentral:rRNA from 1 species